GGGUUGUGAGGUUAAGCGACUAAGCGUACACGGUGGAUGCCCUGGCAGUCAGAGGCGAUGAAGGGCGUGCUAAUCUGCGAUAAGCGCCGGUAAGGUGAUAUGAACCGUUAUAACCGGCGAUACCCGAAUGGGGAAACCCAGUGUGAUUCGUCACACUAUCAUUAACUGAAUCCAUAGGUUAAUGAGGCGAACCGGGGGAACUGAAACAUCUAAGUACCCCGAGGAAAAGAAAUCAACCGAGAUUCCCCCAGUAGCGGCGAGCGAACGGGGAGGAGCCCAGAGCCUGAAUCAGCAUGUGUGUUAGUGGAAGCGUCUGGAAAGGCGCGCGAUACAGGGUGACAGCCCCGUACACAAAAGCGCAUGUGCUGUGAGCUCGAUGAGUAGGGCGGGACACGUGGUAUCCUGUCUGAAUAUGGGGGGACCAUCCUCCAAGGCUAAAUACUCCUGACUGACCGAUAGUGAACCAGUACCGUGAGGGAAAGGCGAAAAGAACCCCGGCGAGGGGAGUGAAAAAGAACCUGAAACCGUGUACGUACAAGCAGUGGGAGCACCCUUCGGGGUGUGACUGCGUACCUUUUGUAUAAUGGGUCAGCGACUUAUAUUCUGUAGCAAGGUUAACCGUAUAGGGGAGCCGGAGGGAAACC
rnacentral:rRNA from 1 species